rnacentral:tRNA from 1 species
GUCAGAAUGGCCGAGUGGUCUAAGGCGCCAGACUCAAGUUCUGGUCUCCCGAUGGAGGCGUGGGUUCAAAUCCCACUUCUGACA